AAAAAAGGUUAUCCUGGGCAUAAAAAGGUUGGAGACCACUACCUUAUAGUCUUUGAUUACUACUUUAACAUCUCAACCAGUGGGGCCACCGGAUGAUUGUUUAGCAGACUUCUUGCUUCUGAGGUUCCAGGACUAGCUGCUCGAAGAAGCCGUCAUUUAAGAUGUCAAGAAACUAUCUCUGCAUCCCAUCCUGAGAUCUGACCGUAAGACAGGGCUGUAUAAAAGUAUCAACAGGGGAAUGACCAGUGGGAAACCAAGACAGCAUUGAGUGUGACAGCCCAGGAUUCCAAGAAGACUGCUUAAAGCUCUGGAAUGAAGACUGAUCGACAGCUUCGCUCCUCUGGAAGUGUGAGCAAUAAGAGUAAAGUCUGAGUGGAACAGAGAACCUUCUCAGAAGCUAGUCUGAGACUGUGAAACUAACUCCUCAAGGAGCUAAGGACCAUCACAAACCUCACCACUUUCUGUUCCAAGUGCAACACACAGCAACAGGUAUAUUUAACAAAACAAACCCUAUCAAAAUAAGACAUCGCUGCACACACUUAUCCCUCUGGGCAGAGGAUGAGAGAACAAGUGACAUAUGGGUAGUCAUGUGCUCAAUGCACUACUGCAAGGCAUUCAGAU